rnacentral:tRNA from 1 species
UGCGGGAUGGUGUAGCGGUAACACGCAUGACUCUGGAUCAUGAAUCCCAGGUUCGAUCCCUGGUCCCGCAGCCA